UACGUAGGGUGCAAGCGUUAAUCGGAAUUACUGGGCGUAAAGCGUGCGCAGGCGGUUUUUGUAAGUCUGAUGUGAAAUCCCCGGGCUCAACCUGGGAAUUGCAUUGGAGACUGCAAGGCUAGAAUCUGGCAGAGGGGGGUAGAAUUCCACGUGUAGCAGUGAAAUGCGUAGAGAUGUGGGAGGAACACCGAUGGCGAAGGCAGCCCCCUGGGUCAAGAUUGACGCUCAUGCACGAA
rnacentral:rRNA from 1 species